GUACUCAUUCUCCACAGAAGGUUUUUCUUCGCAAUGGCCAGAAUGGUGGGGCAUUUAGUCCAGUCACUUGUUCAAGCGAUAAUGAUCCAUGGUUACAGAAUGCUUUUUUCCCUCCAUUAGAGGGUGAUAGUCAUUUCUCUCUGAAACCUCUGGAGGAGAAUGCUCGGAAUGAAAUAAUUUACUGGAGUCCUACAGACACUGCAACCAACCAUUCUUUUAAGCUUUCUCCAGCUAAUUGUUGGUCCAAGAAGGAUUGGACUGUGCAAAGUUCAGGAGAAGGUGUUGGGAA
rnacentral:misc_RNA from 1 species